GGCUGCUGUUACAGCGUUGACACAACUGAAGUGUUCUCCAUUCCUAAAUCCUAAAUCGACAGACCGCUGCCGCAUUCGGCAGUGGCUGAAUUUCCUGGGUGGUCUUUAAGAAUUGCCCCGGGAGGCAGGCACUGUCAUAGUCUAAUCCGGAUGUUACAGAGAAAGGACUUAAAAGAGCUUACCAAAGGGCUGGCCCUGUGGUUGAGUGGUUAAGUUCGCGCGCUCCGCUGCAGGCAGCCCAGUGUUUCGUUGGUUCGAAUCCUGGGCGAGGACAUGGCACUGCUCAUCAGACCACGCUGAGGCAGCAUCCCACAUGCCACAACUGGAAGGACCCACAACGAAGAAUAUACAACUACGUACCGGGGGGCUUUGGGGAGAAAAAGGAAAAAAAUAAAAUCUUUAUAAAAAAAAAAAAAAGAGCUUACCAAAAUAUAUGCAAUCAUAUUUAAAAUAUGAGCCAGUAAAUCAUAAAACACAAUGGAAA
rnacentral:lncRNA from 1 species